rnacentral:lncRNA from 1 species
AUAAGGCUGUGCAAUACCAGGAACUGGGAUUCUAGGUAAAAACUUCUAGAAGGAAGCCUCGGUGCCAGAAUCCGCAAACACACAGAGCACUCAGUGGUGAGCAGCACCAGUGAUCCCAUCAGAAGCCUGCUUUUGUCCUUUAAGGUUGCCCCAGACACCAAGGCAUCAAAAGCCAGGGGAUCCAGAGAAAACACAGACAGCCAAGAGAGAAACUGCGGGAAAAAGCCAAAAGGUUGAGAGCCACACCAUCUAGAAGCUUCCUGCCUGUGGUGCGGCACAGAAACAAGGAGAGUCAGCAAUUACCAGCCAGCCAAGGUCCUGGAAGCUGACGUAGAGCUCGUGCCGACGGCAGACCUGCCGGCCGUGGGAGCCGCGGACGUCAUCUGCAGGGACAGAAGGGGCAAGGUCUUUUCUGGGGUUCCUGCUGUGUGCAGCUACUAUGGGGUACCAGGGUGGGGGAUGCCCUGAUGAGCACAUUUGUCAAAUAAAUGAAUGACAGGAA